GGGGGUGGUUUGGCUUAUGACCCUAGCAUUGCAACCUCACUUCCUUGGCGACAGGUCCAAACAGAACUCGGAACCCUGGAGUCACUGAGCACCACAGUCCAGUGACGGCUGCCUAACAGUCACUUGGCUGGAGAGAGUCAGCAGCAAUCAUGCUGUGCUGCUUUCCCAGGCCUUGAAGCUGCAGCAACAGGACCCUGCGCAGGGAAAGCACUUGGGCGUGAGAGAGAGGAUGGAUCGCUAAGUCCCCGUGCUUCAGGCCACUCACCAGGAACUGCCUGGCCAUCAGGGGCAGCACAGGGCGGGUCUCACCAGACCCGGAGACCUGGGGACCUGAGAUGAGCGGGAGCCCAGGGCAGAUUUCCCUGGACCUGGACACCAGACACUUGGGCCCACCGAGUCCAGGACAGGUCCAGUUAGGCCUGGCCACCACUGACCUGAGGUUGGGUGGGCUCUUCAUGCCCCAGGCCAUGACCUCUCCUUGUUAAUGAGCCAUGAAUCGGUAGCAUUUCUGUGUGUCCCUUAUGAAAUUAUCUUCUAACAUGCAUCGCUUUUCUGCCGGGCCCACUUGUGCCCCUUCUGAUUGGGGCCCAACGGGAGGAGAGCCGGGCAGAGGACUGCAUGGUGAGGACGGCACUGGCAGGCAUGCAGCGGCCCCUGAGGGAGCCCCCGGAACGGGACUUCCUGGACAGCCGCCCCAUCCGCACAGACUCCCUCCUGGACCCCUCUGGGGCCUGCAUUCCCGCCCUGCAGGAGGGAAUGGUGCGAAGGCGAGCUCUGUGGUCGGCACCCAGGGGCACUUGGCCACUGUGGCCCCAAGUCUUUGGAAGGUCCUCCUUUUUUGUCCUCCACUUCUUGGUGGAGCUGCACUCCCAGGAGAAUCCACCAGCUGAACUCCUGGCCCAGCUGGAGCAAGCUGAGUCCACUGAGGCACAGCCCACGGGACCAGCUCCAGCCCCAGCUGAAGUCCCACGUGCGGAGCCCGAGCCAGCUCCACCUGCAGCUUCCUGCCCAGGCUGGGACCACAGCCAGAGUCCGUGGCAGCCUCUUCACCUGCUGCAGUGCUGGGGCACCUGGUGGUUGCACGGCGGUUGGUGUCACCUCCUGAGCUCCGCCUGGGGCCAGCUCCUGGCCCCUCCCACUGUUUCCCUCACUUAUGCUGGCUCUUGUUUUGGUAUUUCUUGGAUUUAUAUAAGUAAUAGAACUAGC
rnacentral:lncRNA from 1 species